rnacentral:rRNA from 1 species
UACGAAGGGGGCUAGCGUUAAUCGGAAUUACUGGGCGUAAAGCGUGCGCAGGCGGCUUUGCAAGACAGAUGUGAAAUCCCCGGGCUUAACCUGGGAACUGCAUUGUGACUGCAUGGCUGGAGUGCGGCAGAGGGGGAUGGAAUUCCGCGUGUAGCAGUGAAAUGCGUAGAUAUGCGGAGGAACACCGAUGGCGGAGGCAAUCCCCUGGGCCUGCACUGACGCUCAUGCACGAAAGCGUGGGGAGCAAACAGG